ACGCUCGACACCUACGGGGGCAGCAGUCGGGAAUAUUGCGCAAUGGAGGAAACUCUGACGCAGUGACGCCGCGUAUGGGAAGAAGGUUUUCGGAUUGUAAACCAUUUUAGACAAGGAAGAAACAAGACAGUACUUGUAGAAUAAGCUCCGGCUAACUACGUGCCAACAGCCGCGGUAAUCUGAGCGGGCUGGCAAGGC
rnacentral:rRNA from 1 species